GGCUGUCGUCAGCUCGUGUCGUGAGAUGUUGGGUUAAGUCCCGCAACGAGCGCAACCCCUACUUCUAGUUGCCAUCAGGUUAAGCUGGGCACUCUAGUAGGACUGCCUGUGAUAAGCAGGAGGAAGGUUGGGAUGACGUCAAGUCCUCAUGGCCCUUACGUGUUGGGCUAUACACGUGCUACAAUGGCAGUGACAAUGAGAUGCUAAACAGCGAUGUUAAGCUAAACUCAAAAACCUGCCUCAGUUCGGAUUGCACUCUGCAACUCGAGUGCAUGAAGCUGGAAUCGCUAGUAAUCGCUCAUCAGCGCGGAGCGGUGAAUACGUUCCCGGGUCUUGUACACACCGCCCGU
rnacentral:rRNA from 1 species